GACGAACGCUGGCGGCGUGCCUAAUACAUGCAAGUAGGACGCAGUUGCGAACGGGUGAGUAACGCGUAGGUAACUGCCUAUUAGAGGGGGAUAACUAUUGGAAACGAUAGCUAAUACCGCAUACUAGUAGAUGGACCUGCGUUGUAUUAGGUAGUUGGUAGGGUAUUGGACUAACUAGGCAACGAUACAUAGCCGAACUGGGAAGGGGAUCAGGCAAACUGGGAAUGGGAAACGGACCAGAAUACCAAGGGAAGCAACAGUAAGGGAUCGUCGGGAAAGGGGGGAAACCUGAACGAGCGACGCCGGGUGAGUGAAGAAGGUUUUCGGAUCGGAAAGCGCUGGUGUUUAGUGAGCGGUACUUAACCAGAAAGGGACGGCUAACUACGUGCCAGCAGCCGCGGUAAUAC
rnacentral:rRNA from 1 species